AACACAUGCAAGUCGAACGGUAACAGGUCUUCGGAUGCUGACGAGUGGGACGGGUGAGUAAUGCGUAGGAAUCUGUCUUUUAGUGGGGGACAACCCAGGGAAACUUGGGCUAAUACCGCAUGAGCCCUGAGGGGGAAAGCGGGGGAUCUUCGGACCUCGCGCUAAGAGAGGAGCCUACGUCCGAUUAGCUAGUUGGCGGGGUAAAGGCCCACCAAGGCGACGAUCGGUAGCUGGUCUGAGAGGACGACCAGCCACACUGGGACUGAGACACGGCCCAGACUCCUACGGGAGGCAGCAGUGGGGAAUUUUUCGCAAUGGGGGCAACCCUAACGAAGCAAUGCCGCGUGGAUGAAGAAGGCCUUCGGGUUGUAAAGUCCUUUCGUGGAGGACGAAAAGGUGGGUUCUAAUACAAUCUGCUAUUGACGUGAAUUCAAGAAGAAGCACCGGCUAACUCCGUGCCAGCAGCCGCGGUAAUUC
rnacentral:rRNA from 1 species